rnacentral:rRNA from 1 species
UACGUAGGGUGCGAGCGUUGUCCGGAAUUACUGGGCGUAAAGAGCUCGUAGGUGGUUUGUCGCGUUGUUCGUGAAAACUCACAGCUCAACUGUGGGCGUGCGGGCGAUACGGGCAGACUAGAGUACUGCAGGGGGAGACUGGAAUUCCUGGUGUAGCGGUGGAAUGCGCAGAUAUCAGGAGGAACACCGAUGGCGAAGGCAGAUCUCUGGGCCGUAACUGACGCUGAGGAGCGAAAGCAUGGGGGAGCGAACAGG